rnacentral:rRNA from 1 species
AUUGAACGCUGGCGGCAGGCCUAACACAUGCAAGUCGAGCGAGCGGCGGACGGGUGAGUAAUGUCUGGGAAACUGCCUGAUGGAGGGGGAUAACUACUGGAAACGGUAGCUAAUACCGCAUACCAUCAGAUGUGCCCAGGUGGGACUAGCUAGUAGGUGGGGUAACGGCUCACCUAGGCGACGAUCCCUAGCGGGUCUGAGAGGAUGACGAGCCACACUGGAACGUAGACACGUUCCAGACUCCGACGGGAGGCAGCAGGGGGGAAUAUUGCACAAUGGGCGCAAGCCUGAUGCAGCCAUGCCGCGUGUGUGAAGAAGGCCUUCGGGUUGUAAAGCACUUUCAGCGGGGAGGCGUUACCCGCAGAAGAAGCACCGGCUAACUCCGUGCCAGCAGCCGCGGUAAUAC